rnacentral:rRNA from 1 species
UGCCAGACUCCUACGGGAGGCAGCAGUGAGGAAUAUUGGUCAAUGGUCGGGAGACUGAACCAGCCAAGCCGCGUGAGGGAUGAAGGUACAGAGUAUCGUAAACCUCUUUUGUCAGGGAACAAAGGCGGGGACGCGUCCCCGGAUGAGUGUACCUGAAGAAAAAGCAUCGGCUAACUCCGUGCCAGCAGCCGCGGUAAUACGGAGGAUGCGAGCGUUAUCCGGAUUUACUGGGUGUAAAGGGAGCGUAGACGGUUAUGUAAGUCUGGAGUGAAAGCCCGGGGCCCAACCCCGGGACUGCUUUGGAAACUGUGUAACUGGAGUACAGGAGGGGCAGGCGGAAUUCCUGGUGUAGCGGUGAAAUGCGUAGAUAUCAGGAGGAACACCGGCGGCGAAGGCGGCCUGCUGGACUGAAACUGACGUUGAGGCUCGAAAGCGUGGGGAGCACACAGGAUUAGAUACCCUUGUAA